CUGGGAGAUCACUCAGUGCAGGCUCUUGCAUUAAAGCAGGAUAGGUGCAGACUGGACUGAGGCCAUGGAUGGCAGAUGGGUCACAAAAAUCCAGCAGGAUCAAUGAAAAGAGGGAAUGCCUGCUAAAGCAGCAGAUGGUGCUCCCACAACCAGCUCUCCCAUCCUGGCCCUGCACACACAGAUGUUCAGAUGCUUCUGGCUACUCCAGUCCAAAUUCAUAUAUAAGGCCUUUAUACAAGAAUAUGCAAGAAGUGUUGAAAGAAUAUUGAUCCAUCAGGAUGCCCAUUUAUAAGCCUGCAAGCUACCACUGGAGCUGUGCUAAGGUGCCCUGCCAGGCCUUCAGCUUUCCUCACUGACCCUGGGACACUGCUGCUGUCCCCUCUCUGGAGAGGAUAUAUCAGUCACAAACAGUGACAUGUUUUCUGCCAAAGGACUCCAGGCAAAUUUGUGAAGUGUUUUCCCAUAGAGUGCAGGCCCCAUGUAGGUGCUGUGGCAGAUGUCAGCCUGUGUCCUCACCUGUGUUGUCUCAGAUGGCAAGGACCUCUAUUUCAGCCACUGAAUUCCACCCUUUACAUCUAUUUUCUGUCCUGGGAAUUCAAACACUAGGUUACAUGUAGGCAUUUGUGGUGAGACACCUGAACUUAGGUGUCCAGUUUUAGUUGACUCCUGCUGAUAAUGUCAGUUUGCCCAGUCCUGUUGCUUUCUCCAGGAGGAAUGAUUCUGUUUAAUCUUCUGGAGGUGGACAGGAAGUGAAGUCUCUUUUGCUCAUUCCCAAUAAAGCUGUCUCACAUCCUAUGCCUUCAGCCACUUUGCCCUGUCCCUGCCUCAUGUCUGUUUCUUAAUCCAAACUUCCAUUCUGUGGAUGUCUGAACUCAAUUUCAGUCUCCUUGUCCAGCAAGUAUUAGAUUCUGUCCUGUACCUCUCAAUCCCUUGCUCCUUUUGAGAUAUUCUCAGAUACCACAGCUGCUUACUUGUUAGUCUGCCACAUUAUCUCCCACAUUUUCACUCCCCUUAUUUGAAGGGGCUCAGUUUUUCAGUCCCACUGCUGCCAGUGCUUGUCCAAUGUAAGCAUCCCUGUAUAAAGUAAUUUAAUUUAGGUUCAUUUUUGU